rnacentral:rRNA from 1 species
AACGAACGCUGGCGGCAGGCCUAACACAUGCAAGUCGAACGCCGUAGCAAUACGGAGUGGCAGACGGGUGAGUAACGCGUGGGAACCUACCUUACGGUCGGGAAUAGCUCAGGGAAACUUGGGGUAAUACCGGAUACGCCCUUACGGGGAAAGAUUUAUCGCCGUUAGAUGGGCCCGCGUAGGAUUAGCUAGUUGGUGAGGUAAUGGCUCACCAAGGCGACGAUCCUUAGCUGGUCUGAGAGGAUGAUCAGCCACACUGGGACUGAGACACGGCCCAGACUCCUACGGGAGGCAGCAGUGGGGAAUAUUGGACAAUGGGCGCAAGCCUGAUCCAGCCAUGCCGCGUGAGUGACGAAGGCCUUAGGGUUGUAAAGCUCUUUUGGUCGGGGAAGGAUAAUGACGGUACCCGCAGAAUAAGCUCCGGCUAACUUCGUGCCAGCAGCCGCGGUAAU